GGUAGUCCACGCCGUAAACGAUGGAUACUAGCUGUUGGAGGUAUCGACCCCUUCAGUAGCGAAGCUAACGCGUUAAGUAUCCCGCCUGUGGAGUACGGUCGCAAGACUAAAACAUAAAGGAAUUGACGGGGACCCGCACAAGCGGUGGAGCGUGUUCUUUAAUUCGAUGCAAAACGAAGAACCUUACCAACACUUGACAUCCUUGGAAUUUUGCCGAGAGGCGAGAGUGCUUUAUUGAACCAAGUGACAGGUGCUGCAUGGCCGUCGUCAGCUCGUGUCGUGAGAUGUUUGGUUAAG
rnacentral:rRNA from 1 species